CAACGGAUAAACGCACAAAAUGCUGUUCCACAGCUUAUCGUUUGCUCUACUUAACAUAAUUAUAAGUUGUAGUUGCCGUGAUGAAUUGGAAAGAAAUUCUACAAAAAUUCUCAAGAAAUUCGAAUCGCUCAGUAAUAGAGCGAAGGCGAAACAGAAUGUACUCCCCGACAUUGAAAAUAUCUUAAACGAAUGAAGCGAUCGAUUAGUCGGUAGUUCGUUCGAAAGGGUCAACGCUGCUGCCAAAUUGUUGAAAUUAUUAUAGAAAAAUGGAAUUUGUUGAACAAUACACACCAGAAUCAAGAAUAUUCAAUGUGCUAUUCAUGGAGAAAAAUUUGCUUUAAACGUGGCAUUAUUGAAGCAUUGCAUGCCAUUACUGUCAACACCAACCAUGUAUCUGUAUUGAAGGAGCAUCCAAACUUGAUUUCACAAAUGAAUCGAUUUACGAAUAGCUUCCUUCGUGAGUUUUCCGGCGAUUUGCUCAAAGAGCUGAGUCCUCUUCUUUCAAAAAGCAAAGAGAUAUUGCAGUAAACGUUUGAUCUCAAUGUUUCAUUUAUGUUUAUGAAAAGAAAAUAUAAACCAUUUUUAUUACAAUUGUAAUUUGCAAACAUAAACCACA